AUGGAUUUACAAAGACACAGCAAGAACACACCUAAGAUGUUCAAAGAGAAAUACGGACAACAAGGAACGAAGGACUUCCGCCGUUUGGAACGAUUACACCAGAAACGCGCACGUCUAAGAAACCACCUUCGCUUCUGUUUAAGAUGCCGGGACGAAAACAUCACACCCACAAGCCUACAGCUGAAAACAUCGAUCCGGACCCAGACAGCACAAAAUAUAAUAGAAAGAGCACAGAGAGCACUGCUCAAGGAGAGGAUAAGGAACGUCAUAACCAAACAGAGGCGUGUGGAGGACGAACUGGAAAGAGGACACCUGGACUUGAAAAGGAAUUACAAACUUGAUAAACAAAUGGAGGAACUAAUUAAAGGACACAUGAUGGAAAAACAGGAAAAAGAGUUCAUAAAAGUAAAAGAAAGACACAUAAAGAAGUUAAACAGACUCAUAAACAAGAAAAAGAGGGGAGAAAUACAAGGCAACUCCACACCAAACUCAUGGGUAUGUAACAUUUCACAAUACAAACUAACAGAAGCAGAAGAGAGCAUAUUAAAGAAAGGUUUAAACUUUGCAGUCACACCAAAAGAAAUACCAUAUGAUGAAUUUAUUGUAGCAACAGAACUAGCAUGUCAACAGAUCACAGAUGAGGGAAAGAAAGCAGAACUCAGAAAUAACAUAGUUGGGAUAUUAAAAAACAGCCAAAUUCAACACAGCAAUAUUACAAAAGAAGAACAAUCAGCCAUGACAGCCUUAUCCAAAAAUGAACUGAUAAUUAUUCUACCGGCAGACAAAGGAAGAACCACAGUAGUUAUGGACAGAGAAAAAUAUAAACAACAGAUGAAACAGAUGCUAGAGGACAAAAAUACAUAUGAAAUACUUAAAAAAGAUCCAACAGAAAACAUUAAGAAAAACAUGAAAAAAUUACUGAAGCCACUACACGAAAAAGGCAAAAUAACAGAAAAAAUGUACAAACACUGGAUUCCUACAGCAAACAUAACACCAAGAAUAUAUGGAACACCAAAAAUACAUAAACAAAACUGUUUCUGUGUUUAA
rnacentral:lncRNA from 1 species